UUUUUUUUAAAAAUGCGCCAACAAGAUGACCUACUACGCAUGCCCUGUGGAAUUCAUAUCCAGCUAGCUAGCUAACCUUUAACUCUGCAGUGCUGACUGUCCGGUCAUCUUCUGGCCUCCUCACGACCUAAUCACAAUCUACAGAGUCAAUCCUCUUCAAAAGCAAAUCCAGACUCUUCUAAUUCCACCAGUUCAUCAGGAUCCAGGAGUGUCAGCUUUAGAUUCAUGUGCUGACAUUCAGGUGCAUUACGUUCAGUCUGUGUUUAGAUCAGGUGGAGGUGAGGGGAACCAGAUCAGAGCAGCCUCCACCUGCAGUGAGGACGUGGAGCAGGUGAAUAGUUUUCCUACUUAUCAUCAUGUUUCCAAACCAGUGCAGUGUGAUAUGGAACAAAAGGACAGAGCGCAACAUACAGCAUAUGCUCUGUCAAAUAUUCCACAAGCUAAAGAUCUCUGCACAAACCUGCAUAAAGAAGAAAAUGUCUAAUAUUGGCAUGUUCUGUGAGAGUGUGGGAAAGUCCUUCAGUCAGAGCUGUGACUGAUCACACACAGACACACCAGAUCAGGAGGUCAGAGCUCCCUGAUGGAUUGCCAGAGAAAGAUGGAGCUCCUUCAUUUGUGUGUCAGCAGCCCAGAGUAUUCACAAGUAAACAGGUCUUUGAUGAGCUGAGGGCUUUGAGAAGGACUGAGGAAGAGGACGCAAUCCUCCUGAAAGAAAUGAGGCAACGCUGGACGUCUGUCAGGCAGAGGGAGCUGAGUCUGCAGGACGCUGCUGUGGAGGAAGGUCUGUGGGCACACUGAGCUCAAAGCUAAACUGCAGAUGCAGCUGAAGGUGUCGGAGAGGAACACCUCAGGAUCUUCCAGACUCCUGGGACUCGUGCAGAACCACUGAAGGGGCUUCAUGAUGAAGAUGGCAGAGGGAAGAGAGCACUUCAGAAAGCAGUUCUGAUGAUGAGGAUGUGUAACUGUGUGACAUCAGCAGAGGCGCCUCAGGGACGCUGUCCAUCAGCACGACUGCUCUCUGCUGGGAGGUCUUGCCUCCCAGCCGCGAAUUCAAUAGGCUCCUCGCCGAUUCCUUCGGGGGGCUCGGGCCUAAAAAGAUUAAUGAGUUAUGAGUUGUGGAACUACAGUUCAGCCCAGGCUGUAAAUAAGUUAAAGAAAAGGGGAAAAACAGACUGCCCAGUAUUUUUCUGUUUUAUUCUGUCUCUAGUAGUGAUUCAGUGUUGCCAGUGUACCUUACAUGUGCCAUCUAGGACAUUGCCCAAAGGUGCCACAGGUGGCAUAGAGAACCAGAGGAACGUAAACCCCCUGAGAGGCAAACACUGCAGAAUAAACCCUGCAGUUAAGCUGUAAACAAGCUUACGUUGUGUGCCUCUUUAUUUUAAUGCACAGAACUGCUGGAUUUGGAACUACGCCCCUCCCUGACAUACACCAGAACGGGGGGGGGCACUUGCAUGUGGCCAACAACAAGAACACUGUAAUGGCAACUUCUAUUAUUCUGUUACAUCUAGCUGACAAAACAGAGGUGCAUUUUUAG